rnacentral:rRNA from 1 species
GUAACGGCGAGUGAAGUGGGAAGAGCUCAUGUUUGAAAUCCAGCUCCCCGCGGGGCUGGAGUUGUAACCUAGAGGAGCGUGAUCGCCUGCCGGCAGGGCCGCGGCCAAGUCCGAUUUGAAAAGGGUACCGAGGAGGGUGGCAGUCCCGUUCGUGCCGCAGUCCCGCCGGCGAUGUGGCCCGCUUCCAACGAGUCGAGUUGCUUGGGAUUGCAGCUCAAAGUGGGUGGUAAACUCCAUCCAAAGCUAAACACGGGUGGGAGACCGAUAGCGAACAAGUACCGUGAGGGAAAGAUGCAAAGAACUUUGAAAAGAGAGUCAAAGAGUGCCUGAAAUUGCUGAGAGGGAAGCGAAGGAAAGUAGUGUCAGUCGAGGGGACCUCGCACACUUGGGGAGCGACGCGGUUCCGCGGCGUUCCCCAGGUUAUGUCCCCCGCGGUGUCAGGGGCGGGUGCGUUGCCGGAGGCGGCGGCCCAGGGUAUAGGUUCUCCGAGGUAAGAGCCGGAGGAAUGCUGCCACAUGGGAUCCGCGUCUUGGUCGCGGCCGUCCCUGACGAAAUGUUUUUCUUUACCCCGUCUUGA